UACGUAGGGGGCAAGCGUUGUUCGGAAUUACUGGGCGUAAAGCGCGUGUAGGCGGGCUGUCAAGUUGGGUGUGAAAUCCCGGGGCUCAACCCCGGAACUGCAUUCGAAACUGCUUGUCUUGAGUUCUGGAGAGGAUGGCGGAAUUCCGGGUGUAGGGGUGAAAUCCGUAGAUAUCGGGAGGAACACCAGUGGCGAAGGCGGCUCUCUGGCCGGUGACUGACGCUGAGGCGCGAAAGCGUGGGGAGCGAACAGG
rnacentral:rRNA from 1 species